GACACCCGUGGCCUAACGGUUAGCGCCCCUGUCUUAGAAAUUCCAAUCGCGGGUUCAAACCCCACCGGGGCCA